GAUGAACGCUGGCGGCGUGCCUAAUACAUGCAAGUCGAGCGAACAGAUGAGGAGCUUGCUCCUCUGACGUUAGUGGCGGACGGGUGAGUAACACGUGGAUAACCUACCUAUAAGACUGGGAUAACUUCGGGAAACCGGAGCUAAUACCGGAUAAUAUAUUGAACCGCAUGGUUCAAUAGUGAAAGACGGUUUUGCUGUCACUUAUAGAUGGAUCCGCGCCGCAUUAGCUAGUUGGUAAGGUAACGGCUUACCAAGGCAACGAUGCGUAGCCGACCUGAGAGGGUGAUCGGCCACACUGGAACUGAGACACGGUCCAGACUCCUACGGGAGGCAGCAGUAGGGAAUCUUCCGCAAUGGGCGAAAGCCUGACGGAGCAACGCAGCGUGAGUGAUGAAGGUCUUCGGAUCGUAAAACUCUGUUAUUAGGGAAGAACAAAUGUGUAAGUAACUAUGCACGUCUUGACGGUACCUAAUCAGAAAGCCACGGCUAACUACGUG
rnacentral:rRNA from 1 species